rnacentral:rRNA from 1 species
CAUAACUUUCAACAACGGAUCUCUUGGCUCUGGCAUCGAUGAAGAACGCAGCGAAAUGCGAUAAGUAAUGUGAAUUGCAGUAUUCAGUGAAUCAUCGAAUCUUUGAACGCACAUUGCGCCCGCCAGUAUUCUGGCGGGCAUGCCUGUUCGAGCGUCA